ACAGGCCAGAACGGAUUAAACUGAAACACACCAGUUGUUCAUAACACACACAAGUGUACACGAUGUUUCGAGCCUUCGUCGUUUGUGUCCUGCUUUUGGCUGCGGUUGGUGCGGAUGACAUUCGCGAUUGUCUGAGAGCAUGUCCACUGAACUACGCACCGAUCUGUGGAUCUAACGGAAUCACAUACUCCAAUUCUUGUGAAAUGGGCGUGAGGCUGUGCAUGUCCGGGGAUACUGCGACGGUCAUGGUGGCACACCAGGGUGCUUGUUAGCAGGACAUUUGAAGGCAAUAAAGCAUAUCAUGUCUAACAA